AUUGAACGCUGGCGGCAGGCUUAACACAUGCAAGUCGAGCGGAGAUGAGGUGCUUGCACCUUAUCUUAGCGGCGGACGGGUGAGUAAUGCUUAGGAAUCUGCCUAUUAGUGGGGGACAACAUUCCGAAAGGAAUGCUAAUACCGCAUACGUCCUACGGGAGAAAGCAGGGGAUCUUCGGACCUUGCGCUAAUAGAUGAGCCUAAGUCGGAUUAGCUAGUUGGUGGGGUAAAGGCCUACCAAGGCGACGAUCUGUAGCGGGUCUGAGAGGAUGAUCCGCCACACUGGGACUGAGACACGGCCCAGACUCCUACGGGAGGCAGCAGUGGGGAAUAUUGGACAAUGGGGGGAACCCUGAUCCAGCCAUGCCGCGUGUAUGAAGAAGGCCUUAUGGUUGUAAAGCACUUUAAGCGAGGAGGAGGCUACUGAGACUAAUACUCUUGGAUAGUGGACGUUACUCGCAGAAUAAGCACCGGCUCACUCUGUGCCAGCAGCCGCAGUAA
rnacentral:rRNA from 1 species